GUAGGUGAACCUGCGGAAGGAUCAUUAACAAAUUCUUUUUUAUAUUAUGUGCAAAUAUUUGUUGUUUUAUAUAUAAACAACAACUACAAACCUAACUCUAAGUCUAUUAUAAAAAUAUUUAUAACAACUUUUAACAAUGGAUCUCUAGGCUCUU
rnacentral:misc_RNA from 1 species